CUGCUGCCUUCCGUAGGAGUCUGGGCCGUGUCUCAGUCCCAAUGUGGCCGGCCAACCUCUCAGUCCGGCUACUGAUCGUCGCCUUGGUGGGCCGUUGCCCCACCAACUAGCUAAUCAGACGCGAGUCCAUCUCAGAGCGAUAAAUCUUUGAUAUCCAGAGCCAUGCGACCCAGAUAUAUUAUGCGGUAUUAGCAGCUGUUUCCAGCUGUUAUUCCCCACUCCAAGGCAGGUUA
rnacentral:rRNA from 1 species